GUUAGCUCAGUUGGUUAGAGCGUGAUGCUAGUAAUACCAAGGUCAUGGGUUUGAGCCCCAUAAGGGCCA